rnacentral:lncRNA from 12 species
AGCUGUGAGAGAACCCUGUCCUGUUUGAUGCUUUAAUUAGGAGGAGACCCAGGUGAGGGAGCUCCGUGUCUCAGGAAAACAGGGAUUAGUAGGCUCUUGGGGAGAAACUGGAUUUCUUCAAGCCAGAAGGGACCUUGUCCUGGCUCACAGGCCUCUCAACAAACUCUUCUUCAGCAGAUGGAUCCACAAGGACUGUGGGUGUAUGGCUCCAGGGAAAGUGCUCUUCUGCUGUCUGUAUUCUCUUUCUAACAAGGAUGCUGGUGGUGACAGACACGUGCUGCCAUCGGAUCUGGUCACGUCUCUCUGGAGAAUGGUGUCUUUGGAGUUGCCUGGACAGCUCUUUGAGACUCUGCUGUUAUUUUUCCCCUCACUCUCCUUAUUUAACCCAAGAUUUAUUAUUUGUGUGUGUGCACAAAAAUAGCCCAGCAGAGUCUCUGCUCAUUUUUGUCUUCUGAUCCAUAUCUGGGGUUUUGU